rnacentral:rRNA from 1 species
AGAGUUUGAUCCUGGCUCAAAACGAACGCUGGCGGCAGGCUUAACACAUGCAAGUCGAACGCCCCGCAAGGGGAGUGGCAGACGGGUGAGUAACGCGUGGGAACAUACCCUUUCCUGCGGAAUAGCUCCGGGAAACUGGAAUUAAUACCGCAUACGCCCUACGGGGGAAAGAUUUAUCGGGGAAGGAUUGGCCCGCGUUGGAUUAGCUAGUUGGUGGGGUAAAGGCCUACCAAGGCGACGAUCCAUAGCUGGUCUGAGAGGAUGAUCAGCCACAUUGGGACUGAGACACGGCCCAAACUCCUACGGGAGGCAGCAGUGGGGAAUAUUGGACAAUGGGCGCAAGCCUGAUCCAGCCAUGUUUUUGUGAGUGAUGAAGGCCUUAGGGUUGUAAAGCUCUUUCACCGGAGAAGAUAAUGACGGUAUCCGGAGAAGAAGCCCCGGCUAACUUCGUGCCAGCAGCCGCGGUAAUACGAAGGGGGCUAGCGUUGUUCGGAAUUACUGGGCGUAAAGCGCACGUAGACGGAUAUUUAAGUCAGGGGUGAAAUCCCAGAGCUCAACUCUGGAACUGCCUUUGAUACUGGGUAUCUUGAGUAUGGAAGAGGUAAGUGGAAUUCCGAGUGUAGAGGUGAAAUUCGUAGAUAUUCGGAGGAACACCAGUGGCGAAGGCGGCUUACUGGUCCAUUACUGACGCUGAGGUGCGAAAGCGUGGGGAGCAAACAGGAUUAGAUACCCUGAUAGUCC